AGCCACAUGAAUAUAUAUCUGGUUAUUCCUGCCCGGUGAACUUUUAACGGCCGCAGUACUUUGACUGUGCUAAGGUAGCAUAAUCAAUUGAUUUUUAAUUGAAAUCUGGAAUGAAUGGGAUUAUGGGGGAGAGCUGUCUUAAGAAAACUUUUUUUAAAUUAUUAAUAAGGUGAAAAUUCCUUAAUUUUCUAAAAAGACGAGAAGACCCUUAGAGUUUUUUUGUUGGGGUGACAAAUAAACAAACUUUAUUUUAUGUAAGAUUAAACUACCUUAGGGAUAACAGCAUAAUCUUUUUUAAGGAUUGUGACCUCGAUGUUGGACUAGGAAUUUUAUAGUAAGAAGCUAAAAAAAUAAGUUCUGUUCGAACACUUUCUCCU
rnacentral:rRNA from 1 species